UUGUGGCGGUCGGAUACGGAACUGAGAACGGCAAGGACUAUUGGAUCGUAAGAAACUCAUGGGGAACAAGCUGGGGAGAGAGUGGAUACAUAAGGAUGGAGCGUAACAUUAAGGAUUCAUCGGGAAAAUGUGGAAUUGCAAUCGAACCUUCGUACCCGAUCAAGAAUGGCCAAAACCCGCCAAACCCAGGACCUUCACCACCAUCUCCCAUCAAGCCACCAACCCAAUGUGACAGUUACUACACUUGUCCUGAGAGCAACACUUGUUGUUGUCUCUUUGAGUAUGGAAAGUAUUGCUUUGCUUGGGGAUGUUGCCCACUAGAAGCAGCCACGUGCUGUGAU
rnacentral:lncRNA from 1 species